UAUAAAUAAAGUUUGAUUUGAUUUGAUUUGAAAGUUAGAAGGGGCUUGGCACGAAAUGUCAAAGUUGUGUAAAUCCCACGAAUCAUGCUCCAGGCUUUGUCUCUCUCAUAUGGAAGACUUGGUGUCGCAUAAUUCCAGCCAGGCACAAAUGGCAUAUAUUAAUUUCUCCUCCAUGAUCACUUUUCAAACGGUUGACACUUUCGUGAAAUAAAGGAGACGCCAUCCAUAUAUUACUACCAAAUCGGAGUCUUUCAUUGGUCAAAGUUGGGCCUGGUUUACGCUCAAAUGCAACGCCCGAAAGUUUGAAUGCAGAGAACAGAAACGCACAUUUACAUAGACUUUAAAUUGGAACUGGCCGCUUGAAUGUAGCCUUAGGGAGAGAUUGCAUCUUUUUAUAGAAUUUGCAAGCAAAAAAUGAAUAACAGGAUCCUGUUCCAGCUGCAGACUCAGUGGGGAUCUGCUACACUGAGUGGUAUUUGCAGAUUUUGUAACCUCUAAGAAGUACUCCUUCUUCUAGUAUGACAUCAGAUCCUUGGACUUUGAAAAGACAAGUUCAACAUCCUGAAUCUGCCUUGAGGGAAUUUGCCUUAUGGGGGAAAGAAUACUGCAUGUAUUAUGGCUAAAAAUAAAAAAUAAUGGAAGAAAUAUAAUCAUAAACCACAAUGUGUUCAUCUCGGCUGCAGCCUGCUGUUUUCCACAGCAAUUAAGAAUGACAGCUAAUUUUAAUUCAGCCACAUGCUAGCGCAGAUGUUAGCCUAAUCAGGUGAUGAAAGCAAUGUUAAGAACUGAAACCCAAGAAAAGCUGCUUUAUUUCCUAAUUCUCAUCAUCGUAUCAAUUGGCCAAAUAAAUAAGUAGGGAAGAGGGGAAAUCCACACGGCUGUGUAAUCUGAUGAUCUUCAGCAGGUAAUUUUUAAUCCCCAAAUUUGUUUGUUUUGAUUGUUAUAUGAAGCUUUUACUUUCUCCAAAAGAGUUCUAAUCUUUCUUUCUCCUUCUCUGCAUGUAAUUCUUCUCUCACGUUUGCUUCUUUUUAAAUCAUGUGCUAAACGCCAACAGUGAGCAGGAAGCACGGGGUUGGUUUUUAAUAGCACGUGUGAACCCAGCAUCUGCUUCUAGAGAUCUGAGACACAGACUUGUCACCUUUUCAUCUCAAAACCUCGUCAACAUGUGACCUUGGAGUUGUGAAGGAAAUCUGGCUCCUCUGCAACUGAGUUUGGGCUGUGAAAGAGAAAGGAAUUGCAGUCUUCUUUAUUCUGUAAUUCAAGGGUAGAAAUUACCUUGGCUCUUUUUACAUAUAAUCUGUUAAGCAGUAUUAUAAGUUUUUUCUUUUUCUCCAUUACCAGGAUUUGGGCCACCUUCAACUGCCACUCAAACCCCAUUGCCUGUUUUGGAACUCUCCUGCAGGUGGUGGACCCAUGUGGGAGUAAUCCACAUCAUCUCUGCCGGCUGGAUCCCUACGCAGCCAAUGGAAAGAGCCCCAAUCCCAGGCCUGGAUCAAAAGGCCUGUCUGCUAUGGGAGACCGUACCAGAGAUACAAGCUAUGGACAGCGUAGGUCCUGGGAUCACUCGAACUCUCAAACCUCUCCACCACGUUAUAGUCCCAGAGAGUUUGGCUUCGCCAAGUGGGUGUACAGCUCCUGCCACAUGUGGAAGAAUUUGAGUUUUAGGCCUUGCUCCCCAUUGAGGGAAGAUCAGAUUGGGAAAUUGGCAGGCGGAUUGGUGCGGCGUCCGCUCUUGUGUACCAGUCCCUUGUGCUGAUAAGAGAGCUGAGCCAGAAAGCAAAGCUCUAAAUUUACUGGUCAAUCUUCGUUCCAGUACUCACCUAUAGUCAUAAGCUCUGGUUAAUGACCAAAAGACAGAGGUCUCAAGUACAAGCAGCCGAACUGGGUUUCCAUCAUAGGGUGGCUUGGCGCUCCCUUAGAGAUCACCUGCAGAGAGCUUGGAGUAGAACCGCUACUCCUCCACAUCAAGAGGAGCCACUUGAGGUGACUUGAGUACCUGGUCCAGAUGCCUCCUGGACGCCUCCCUGGGUAGGUGUUUCAAGCAUGUCCCACUGGUCUGAGGCCCCGGGGAAGACCCAAGACACACUGGAGAGACUAUGUCUCUCGAUUCGCCUCAGAGUCCCCCUAGAGCAGGGGUCACCAACCCUGUGCCCGCGGGAGGUUUUUAGUGGCGCCCUUCAUACCACUUGGUGCCCAUGAAAUAGCCCUCGGUCUCAAAAAGGUUGGUGAACCCUGCCCUAGAGGAGCAGGAGGAAGUGGCUGGGGAGAGAUUGCUGCCCCCAGGUCAAGGGGGCAGCAGUCUCUGCUCUUGCUAUUUUGACAUUUUUAGUUAUCAAGAUUUAAGAAUCAGAUCAUAUCAGAAUCCAUACUAAUGACUGUAUUUAGAUGGAAAGCAAGUGUAGGACAUCAUUCAUUGGCUGGUGUUUAACCUUUAUAGUAUAGACCUACUUUUUUUUUAGUGCAGUUUGAUUUUAAGCAUGAAAGAAACUAUUGCAUUGAUAAAAUUCACUGACUUAAAAGUUGUACUGGGCAUAAAAUCUAUUCGCAAAAGUAAAAAAAUAUUUCAGAAA